GACAGAGGGUGCAAACGUUGUCCGAAGUUACUGGGCGUAAAGCGCGCGUAGGCGGGUUGGUAAGUCCGCUGUGAAAGCCCGGAGCUCAACUCCGGAGGGUCGGUGGAUACUGCCAGUCUUGAAGGUGCUAGGGGGAGAUGGAAUUACCGGUGUAGCGGUGAAAUGCGUAGAUAUCGGUAGGAACACCAGUGGCGAAGGCGGUCUCCUGGGGCAUUCUUGACGCUGAGGCGCGAAAGCUGGGGGAGCGAACGGG
rnacentral:rRNA from 1 species